CUUAGAAAAUACCGAAAAGAUGAAGCCUUCUCCAAUGAGAUCUGUAGCAACUUGUACUGCCUUCUCCUCAUCUAAAGGUCUGAUAGCCACAUUAGUAGCAUGCCCAUAAAUGCGCCUUUGUAUCCUUGUAGUGAUACGAUGGUUUGUCUGCAAUAUGUGUUAUAG
rnacentral:rRNA from 1 species